rnacentral:rRNA from 1 species
GACGAACGCUGGCGGCGUGCCUAACACAUGCAAGUCGAGCGAGGAACUUCGGUUCCUAGCGGCGGACGGGUGAGUAACACGUGGGUAACCUGCCUCAUAGUGGGGGAUAGCCCUCCGAAAGGAGGAUUAAUACCGCAUAAGAAGUAAGAAUCGCAUGAUUCUAGCUUUAAAGGAGUAAUCCGCUAUGAGAUGGACCCGCGGCGCAUUAGCUAGUUGGUGAGGUAACGGCUCACCAAGGCCACGAUGCGUAGCCGACCUGAGAGGGGGAUCGGCCACAUUGGAACUGAGAUACGGUCCAGACUCCUACGGGAGGCAGCAGUGGGGAAUAUUGCACAAUGGGCGAAAGCCUGAUGCAGCAACGCCGCGUGAGUGAUGAAGGCCUUUGGGUUGUAAAGCUCUGUCUUUUGGGACGAUAAUGACGGUACCAAAGGAGGAAGCCACGGCUAACUACGUGCCAGCCGCCGCCGUAACAC